UGACGUCUCUCCCCAGUGCCCACUCCCCUCUCCGCCUGCACUAAGGUUCUAGAAUCUUCUCCUUUCUGUUUACAGGUGAUGAGAAGAGGUCAUUAGCAGAAACAGAGUACAGUUUAAACUGUCCGUUAUUUGCAUUCACACCUUAUGAAUCUUGAAGGGUCAGGCCGUCGUGGAGCCAUGAGGCCAGGUCACGCCCGCCCACCGCUGCCGACCUUCGCAUCCCUGGAGAUCUGAAGCCGGCCCGGCGGGACCCAGCCGAGCCCCCCGGAGGCCAUGGCCGAGCGGCACCA
rnacentral:lncRNA from 1 species